CGCCCAGACUCCUACGGGAGGCAGCAGUGGGGAAUAUUGCACAAUGGGGGAAACCCUGAUGCAGCAACGCCGCGUGAGUGAAGAAGUAUUUCGGUAUGUAAAGCUCUAUCAGCAGGGAAGAAAAUGACGGUACCUGAGUAAGAAGCCCCGGCUAACUACGUGCCAGCAGCCGCGGUAAUACGUAGGGGGCAAGCGUUAUCCGGAUUUACUGGGUGUAAAGGGAGCGUAGACGGCGAUACAAGUCUGAAGUGAAAGCCCGGGGCUCAACCCCGGGACUGCUUUGGAAACUGUGUUGCUGGAGUGCUGGAGAGGCAAGCGGAAUUCCUAGUGUAGCGGUGAAAUGCGUAGAUAUUAGGAAGAACACCAGUGGCGAAGGCGGUUUGCUGGACAGUAACUGACGUUGAGGCUCGAAAGCGUGGGGAGCAAACAGGAUUAGAUACCCUUGUA
rnacentral:rRNA from 1 species